rfam:Halococcus saccharolyticus DSM 5350 contig_16, whole genome shotgun sequence.
GCGAGGGUAGCCAAGUCUGGAAACGGCGGCGGAUUCAAGCUCCGCUCCUGUAGAGGUCCACGGGUUCAAAUCCUGUCCCUCGCA